CAUCAACAAAAGUACAUCUACCUACGGUGCCUGGAAUAUGCCACUCUCACUACAGUAAUUGGUAAAAAAUUUGCCUUUAAUUGAUUCAUGGACUGGCAAAUGGAGACUGAACACAUCAAACUUUUGUAUCAUUCUUAACACUGCUCUAACAUCCAACUUAAGAUUCAUUGUGCACAAGGUGUGUGUGGGAUCUAUUACCUGCUUGUUUCAGCUUCUUUCCUAAAAA
rnacentral:lncRNA from 1 species